UGGCUCUCCCAUGAGGGAUAUUUUUGCUCGAAUCGAUAAGAACUUGUGUUUUCUCGAGUCCAUUAUGACUUGGUCCCUCAAGUUGCAGUUGACUUAAUUUUGUCUAUGUUUGAUUUGAAUGAUUUAAUUCUUAUGAAGUUUUGUAGGUUAUUCAAGAAGGACAAGAUCCUCGAUGUCGGAUCCAAGGCUUUAGUUCGAGAGAUCUAUUCUAGAGGUUAGUUACUUAAUUUUGAUCACCGAUUCAGCAUCCAACAACGAUCCUGAACUCAAACAUGGCGAUGUUUAUCCUUUUGAACUAUGCCGGCAUGUACCUAGAGUGUCUUAUUAAUAGUUAUUUUGUGAAUUAAUUGUAAUAAGAUUAUAAGUUAAUAUUGGUUGGUUAUAUACAUAUAA